rnacentral:tRNA from 1 species
GUCUCGGUGGUGUAGUGGUCAAGAUGCUUGCCUGGUAAACAUGAGCGCGCAGGUUCAAUCCCACCCGAGACA